rnacentral:rRNA from 1 species
UACGUAGGGUGCAAGCGUUAAUCGGAAUUACUGGGCGUAAAGCGUGCGCAGGCGGUUGUGUAAGACAGAUGUGAAAUCCCCGGGCUCAACCUGGGAACUGCAUUUGUGACUGCACGGCUGGAGUGCGGCAGAGGGGGGGAUGGAAUUCCGCGUGUAGCAGUGAAAUGCGUAGAUAUGCGGAGGAACACCGAUGGCGAAGGCAAUCCCCUGGGCCUGCACUGACGCUCAUGCACGAAAGCCGUGGG